rfam:Glycine soja cultivar W05 scaffold4656_4, whole genome shotgun sequence.
AAGUAUCAUAUUAUCAUGUCUUGUCACCGACACGUUAUUGACACAUUAUUGAAGGUGAUAACAUGACAAUGAGGUGUCCGUGAUAAGACAUGAUGAUGUGAUACUCUAU